AGUCUGGUGCCAGCAGCCGCGGUAAUUCCAGCUCCAAUAGCGUAUAUUAAAGUUGUUGCAGUUAAAAAGCUCGUAGUUGAACCUUGGGCCUGGUUGGCCGGUCCGCCUCACCGCGUGCACUGGUCCGACCGGGUCUUUCCUUCUGGGGAGCCGCAUGCCCUUCACUGGGUGUGUCGGGGAACCAGGACUUUUACUUUGAAAAAAUUAGAGUGUUCAAAGCAGGCCUAUGCUCGAAUACAUUAGCAUGGAAUAAUAGAAUAGGACGUGUGGUUCUAUUUUGUUGGUUUCUAGGACCGCCGUAAUGAUUAAUAGGGAUAGUCGGGGGCAUCAGUAUUCAAUUGUCAGAGGUGAAAUUCUUGGAUUUAUUGAAGACUAACUACUGCGAAAGCAUUUGCCAAGGAUGUUUUCAUUAAUCAGUGAACGAAAGUUAGGGGAUCGAAGACGAUCAGAUACCGUCGUAGUCUUAACCAUAAACUAUGCCGACUAGGGAUCGGGCGAUGUUAUCUUUUUGACUMGCUCGGCACCUCACGAGAAAUCAAAGUCUUUGGGUUCUGGGGGGAG
rnacentral:rRNA from 1 species